GACGAACGCUGGCGGCGUGCCUAAUACAUGCAAGUUGAGCGAUGAAGAUUGGUGCUUGCCCCAAUUUGAAGAGCAGCGAACGGGUGAGUAACGCGUGGGGAAUCUGCCUUUGGGCGGGGGACAACAUUUGGAAACGAAUGCUAAUACCGCAUAACAACUUUAAACAUAAGUUUUAAGUUUGAAAGAUGCAAUUGCAUCACUCAAAGAUGAUCCCGCGUUGUAUUAGCUAGUUGGUGAGGUAAAGGCUCACCAAGGCGAUGAUACAUAGCCGACCUGAGAGGGUGAUCGGCCAAAUUGGGACUGGGACACGGCCCAAACUCCUACGGGAGGCAGCAGUAGGGAAUCUUCGGCAAUGGACGAAAGUCUGACCGAGCAACGCCGCGUGAGUGAAGAAGGUUUUCGGAUCGUAAAACUCUGUUGGUAGAGAAGAACGUUGGUGAGAGUGGAAAGCUCAUCAAGUGACGGUAACUACCCAGAAAGGGACGGCUAACUACGUG
rnacentral:rRNA from 1 species